rnacentral:rRNA from 1 species
UACGAAGGGGGCUAGCGUUGCUCGGAAUUACUGGGCGUAAAGCGCACGUAGGCGGCUUUCUAAGUCGGGGGUGAAAUCCUGGAGCUCAACUCCAGAACUGCCUUCGAUACUGGAGAGCUUGAGCCCGGGAGAGGUGAGUGGAACUGCGAGUGUAGAGGUGAAAUUCGUAGAUAUUCGCAAGAACACCAGUGGCGAAGGCGGCUCACUGGCCCGGUACUGACGCUGAGGUGCGAAAGCGUGGGGAGCAACGGG